UUAAUCCACUAAACCCAGAGAUAAUUCCUGAGGCAUGUUUAAAGAGUUUUGUAUUUCAUCAAGAAGGUGCUGAUUCACAAAGAUUUUAAAUUUAAGAAAAUCUGAGCAUCAUUCCAAAUAACUGUUAACAUGUUUGUCAACUAAACAUGUUUUGUAAACGUAAUAAACUUUAUAAAAAUAUUUUUUAUUUUGUAUUAAUAAUCAAGUAUAAAGAACAAUGCAUAGUGUGAAAAUGCGGAUUAUAAAAAAGUAUAUUAAAGAAAAGGACUACAUUUCCCAGAAUGCACCUGCACCCACUCAUCUGACUGCCCCCACCCUUCAGGUGCGACUGCUCAACCUAUGGGCUUGACGGAAAAUUCAAAUCGCGAACCGUUACUGCCUGGACUACUCCGUCUCUUGUUUGUUUGUUUGCUCAUUAACAGUAAGAGGUCAUGUACACUGUGGUCAACUUUGUGGACGAUGAAGAGGUUUCUGGGUAAAGAUGAUAGAAAUAUAAUGAAGUAACAGUGAAAGCUAAAACAUCAGACUGAUCCAGACACUGAAGAAAUUGAUGUCACUGCAAUCUGGCCAAAAUGAUACAACUAUAUUGAAGUAACCUACUGUAAUGAAGCUGCAGAACAACACAGAGACUCUGAGGACAUCAACACAGAAAAUGAAGGCUCCAAAGAGAUGUCUGUCCAGAUGAGGGUGCAUCAAUGUUACGUUUGCUGACAAGUAUAUGCUUUACAAUGUAAAACCUAACAGUUAACUUAACUCAAACCAUUUAAGGAAAUCGGUUGCCUUAACCCAUUAAGUUUUAAAAAACAUACAUUUGAGUACUGUGAACUUAAGUCUUGUGCAAUUAUGCACUUAUAUUUAGUUAGUGUGAACUUAAAUAUAAGUGCAUAACUGCAUGUGACUCAAUUUGUUUAAGUUCACAGUACUCAAAUCCAUGUGUUUUAAAACUUAAAUGGUUUAAUGCAACCGGUUUUCUUAAAUGGUUUGAGUUUAGUUAACUUUUAGGUUUUACAGUGAGAAAUUCUUGAAUAAUUCCAAGACAGAGCUCUGCAAUUGAAUCAACAUUGCAAAAAAUCAGUUUCUAACUUAGGAUUUUUAUCUUGUUUUUAGUAGAAAAACUAAAAAUUCUUAAAUCAAGAUGUAUUUUCUUGAUGAGCAAAAUUACCUAAGAAAAUGUCUAGUUUUUAGACAAAAAUAUACAAUUUAAGUAAAUUUGUGCCUGAACAAGCAAAAAUAUAUAACAAUGGGGUGAGAAAAUUGUGCUUGAAUUAAGUUUUUAAGAAAAAAGAAAACUUAAGAUUUUUUCUCACACCAUUGGCAGAUAUUUUUGCUUGUUUUAAGCACAAAUUCACUUAAA